rnacentral:tRNA from 1 species
UCCGACUUAGCUCAUCAGGUAGAGCAACUGACUUGUAAUCAGUAGGCGACGGGUUCGAGUCCUGUAGUCGGAACCA